rnacentral:rRNA from 1 species
ACUGGCAGCCAUAUCACCCUGCAGCCCAAGACUGGUUGCCCACUGAAGCUAAGCAGGGUUGAGCCUGGUCAGUACCUGGAUGGGAGACCUCCUGGGAAAACUAGGUUGCUGCUGGAA